rnacentral:rRNA from 1 species
CGAGUCUUAACCGGGCGUUAAGUUGCAGGGUAUAGACCCGAAACCCGGUGAUCUAGCCAUGGGCAGGUUGAAGGUUGGGUAACACUAACUGGAGGACCGAACCGACUAAUGUUGAAAAAUUAGCGGAUGACCUGUGGCUGGGGGUGAAAGGCCAAUCAAACCGGGAGAUAGCUGGUUCUCCCCGAAAGCUAUUUAGGUAGCGCCUCGUGAAUUCAUCUCCGGGGGUAGAGCACUGUUUCGGCUAGGGGGCCAUCCCGGCUUACCAACCCGAUGCAAACUGCGAAUACCGGAGAAUGUUAUCACGGGAGACACACGGCGGGUGCUAACGUCCGUCGUGAAGAGGGAAACAACCCAGACCGCCAGCUAAGGUCCCAAAGUCAUGGUUAAGUGGGAAACGAUGUGGGAAGGCCCAGACAGCCAGGAUGUUGGCUUAGAAGCAGCCAUCAUUUAAAGAAAGCGUAAUAGCUCACUGGUCGAGUCGGCCUGCGCGGAAGAUGUAACGGGGCUAAACCAUGCACCGAAGCUGCGGCAGCGAACGUAUCACUUAAAGCGAUUCAGCGGGUUACGAUUGACGGAGCGAAGCGACGUCAAAGCGUAUACAAAGUCGAGUCGGUUUAAGGAUACGUUCGUUGGGUAGGGGAGCGUUCUGUAAGCCUGUGAAGGUGUGUCGUGAGGCAUGCUGGAGGUAUCAGAAGUGCGAAUGCUGACAUAAGUAACGAUAAAGCGGGUGAAAAGCCCGCUCGCCGGAAGACCAAGGGUUCCUGUCCAACGUUAAUCGGGGCAGGGUGAGUCGACCCCUAAGGCGAGGCCGAAAGGCGUAGUCGAUGGGAAACGGGUUAAUAUUCCCGUACUUGGUGUUACUGCGAAGGGGGGACGGAGAAGGCUAUGUUGGCCGGGCGACGGUUGUCCCGGUUUAAGCGUGUAGGUGUGUGUUCCAGGUAAAUCCGGUUCACUUUAACACUGAGGCGUGAUGACGAGGCACUACGGUGCUGAAGCAACAAAUGCCCUGCUUCCAGGAAAAGCCUCUAAGCAUCAGGUAACAUCAAAUCGUACCCCAAACCGACACAGGUGGUCAGGUAGAGAAUACCAAGGCGCUUGAGAGAACUCGGGUGAAGGAACUAGGCAAAAUGGUGCCGUAACUUCGGGAGAAGGCACGCUGACACGUAGGUGAAGUGAUUUACUCAUGGAGCUGAAGUCAGUCGAAGAUACCAGCUGGCUGCAACUGUUUAUUAAAAACACAGCACUGUGCAAACACGAAAGUGGACGUAUACGGUGUGACGCCUGCCCGGUGCCGGAAGGUUAAUUGAUGGGGUCAGCGCAAGCGAAGCUCCUGAUCGAAGCCCCGGUAAACGGCGGCCGUAACUAUAACGGUCCUAAGGUAGCGAAAUUCCUUGUCGGGUAAGUUCCGACCUGCACGAAUGGCGUAAUGAUGGCCAGGCUGUCUCCACCCGAGACUCAGUGAAAUUGAACUCGCUGUGAAGAUGCAGUGUACCCGCGGCAAGACGGAAAGACCCCGUGAACCUUUACUAUAGCUUGACACUGAACAUUGAGCCUUGAUGUGUAGGAUAGGUGGGAGGCUUUGAAGCGUGGACGCCAGUCUGCGUGGAGCCGACCUUGAAAUACCACCCUUUAAUGUUUGAUGUUCUAACGUGGACCCGUAAUCCGGGUUGCGGACAGUGUCUGGUGGGUAGUUUGACUGGGGCGGUCUCCUCCUAAAGAGUAACGGAGGAGCACGAAGGUUGGCUAAUCCUGGUCGGACAUCAGGAGGUUAGUGCAAUGGCAUAAGCCAGCUUGACUGCGAGCGUGACGGCGCGAGCAGGUGCGAAAGCAGGUCAUAGUGAUCCGGUGGUUCUGAAUGGAAGGGCCAUCGCUCAACGGAUAAAAGGUACUCCGGGGAUAACAGGCUGAUACCGCCCAAGAGUUCAUAUCGACGGCGGUGUUUGGCACCUCGAUGUCGGCUCAUCACAUCCUGGGGCUGAAGUAGGUCCCAAGGGUAUGGCUGUUCGCCAUUUAAAGUGGUACGCGAGCUGGGUUUAGAACGUCGUGAGACAGUUCGGUCCCUAUCUGCCGUGGGCGCUGGAGAACUGAGGGGGGCUGCUCCUAGUACGAGAGGACCGGAGUGGACGCAUCACUGGUGUUCGGGUUGUCAUGCCAAUGGCACUGCCCGGUAGCUAAAUGCGGAAGAGAUAAGUGCUGAAAGCAUCUAAGCACGAAACUUGCCCCGGGAUGAGUUCUCCCUGAGACUUAGAGUC